CCUACGGUGUGCUGCAGUGAGGAAUAUUGGUCAAUGGGAGAGAUCCUGAACCAGCCAAGCCGCGUGAGGGAAGACGGCCCUAUGGGUUGUAAACCUCUUUUGUCGGAGAACAAAACCCGGGACGUGUCCCUGACUGCGUGUAUCCGAAGAAAAAGCAUUGGCUAACUCCGUGCCAGCAGCCGCGGUAAUACGGAGGAUGCGAGCGUUAUCCGGAUUUAUUGGGUUUAAAGGGUGCGUAGGCGGUCCGUUAAGUCAGCGGUAAAAUGGCGGGGCUCAACCCCUUCGUGGCGUUGAAACUGGGAGACUUGAGUUGGCGAGAAGGACGCGGAAUGCGCGGUGUAGCGGUGGAAUGCAUAGAUAACGAGCAGAACUCCGAUUGCGAAGGGAGCGUACCGGAGCCGGAAUGAAGAUGAGGCACGAAAGCGUGGGGAUCGAACAGGAUUUAGAUACCCGGGUAGUC
rnacentral:rRNA from 1 species